UUCAUUUUUACUGUAAUCGGCCUCUGUUCCCCUUCCCUUACCGCUGCUCAUUGCCCGUUCUCCAGCUUCCCGCUCUGCCCACUCCCACUUUGUUUCCUUUUGCGCCUUUCACUUGUGCAUGUCACACACACAUACACCGAUGCAUAUUUUAUAAUAUUUAUUUACAUUGACGUUGACGUCGCCGUCGGCGUCUCAGUUGCCGUCGCAGCCGCGCCCGCCAUUUGUUUUGUUUACUACAGGCUUUUUCCCAGCCGUUGUUGUUGUUUUUAGUAGUGUUAUUAUUGUCUCCUGUGUUGUGUCUUGUCUUUUGCCUUCGUUUUCGUUCAACACAUACACACACACUCGCAUUUUGUUUUGUUCUCCGCUUCCUUGUCCUUGUCUCGCCUACCUACACACGCUCGAUAUGCGUGUGCGUAUCCAUGUGCGUGUGUGUGUGUGUGUGUGGGACCUGUUCUGCUAUUGUGGCUUUCUUUCAAGUUCCGCUUUGUCGCUUUGUUUUUGUUUUUGUUGAGUUUGUACUUACGUUUUAGGCUGGUCGCGACUGCGCGCUAAUUUAUUGCGUUCUCAAAAUCAACUGAGACACACACACACCUUCACACAUACACACAUAGAGGGACACCGACUCACACUGAUUGAUUAUUACUCCAUAUUCGAAGCGCUCUCUCACAGUCUUCCUCUUCUCU